UGUUUUUCCUUUCUUCUCUGUUCUCUCUCUUCCCUCUCGCUCUUCUCUCCGUGACUCAGCUAGCGAGGACAGAGAGCUGUUGACGUCCGAACACCGGCGAAUCGGACCUCAUCGUUACCACCAGUCGUCUCCCCUUCAUCUCAGGAACAAGAAACAGCUGUUGCAUGCCUCGGAUUGUUACUAUUUCGACGAGGGUUUACGAACUUAACCCCGAUUUUUGUGCCCAGAGAUGGAGAUCGGUGACGAUGAUCAGGAGUUCGGCGCUGUGUGGAUGAUCCCGGUGUAGGCUCUGGUUUUCAAACUCUGGUGAUUUGUAGGGUUUUGGGGGCGUGAAUUUUUGGGGAUUUCAUUUGGAUUUCUGGCCCUGAAUUUUGCAAGGACUGUCUGCCCUGUAUGUACACCAGAUGCUCCUGACAUUUCAAAUAAGUUAGGUGUCACUAGAUGGACUACUAAAGCAGCUAAGGGUAUUGAAAUCAGUUAUGCUUGAUUGGUGGUGGGAAAUAUGCAUGGUGGAUUCGAUCAAACUCUAUUUUCCUUUUUUUGGGUUUUAUUAGUUUAUAUGAAUUUUAAUAUAUUUUAUAAAUGAGUAAUGAGAAGAAAUUUUUUUUUUAAAAAAAAAAUUACCAGGUUAAUGCUGGGUUUUAUGUUCUAAUUUAUGGGUUUUGGUAAAAAGAGGUUUAGAUAUUUAGUUUUGAUUGCUCUGUUUUAUUUGCUCUAGGGUUUUGGAGAGUUUGAAUUUGGGAUCUUGGAAAAGCGCAAGAAAAAUAUUUCAAUCAAGUUUUAAAAGGAAGUUUCAAAGUGUAUCUGAAUGCAGGACAAGAGAAUAAUGUGAUGAGCCUCAAGAACGGUGAAGUAAGAAAUUAAGUCCUGAGAAGUAAAGCAUGUGAAUCAAUUAAAGGAAAUUUAGAGCUUUUUCCUUAGUAAUUAUGAGUUUUGAGUAGUAUAAUGAUCAAUAUAGUGGUUUCCUAUAUACGAGAGACUAAUCUCAAGGAUUUCAAGGGCCAGGUAUUUACGAUUCGACAACAUAUCUGUGAGUUGGCUUUUAUUUCCAACAUAUAUAUGAUGUGUUUAUAUGAAAUAUUGUGUUAUCAUGCCAUGCAUUCAUUUGUGUUAGUACUUAUUCUGCAGUCGGAACGAGCUUCACGUGUAUGUUCACACUCAUGCACUUACACUCAGAAUGGAUCCAUUUAGUGCAAGCCUAUACUAGUUUGCCUUAGGCGGGUGUAACACGCUUAGCGUGAGCUUGACAUGAUUAUAGUACUUGAGCGUAAAUUUAUACAUAGAGCUUGUUCAUGGUAGAAUAUAUCUCUGCAUGUACUCGUACUAAAUUGGUGUGUUUUUAGUUGAAUAAUGAUGUAAAUUGAGCUUCUUUAUGGGAAGUUACUUGUCACAUUGACAUUGAUAUGCUAUUGUGCCUCAGAAAAGAAGACAAAGGAUAAGCACAAAAGUAAACAUCACAAAGGCGAUCGUCUCUCGGGGGCAAUCUUCAUGAACUUGUACUUUCCAGUUCGAACAAAUAAUUUUAAAUUCACUUGGAACUUUGGUUUGUAACUUAAUUUUUUGCUUUUCGAUUUGUAACUUAUUUUAUUUUGAUUACAUGUUUUUUUUUUUAAUUUAAGUGGUUUGCUAGUAUAUUACUAAUGAUACAUUCAUAAAAUGAUGAGCAUGAUUUGCUACUAGUUUGUUGGUAUAAAAUUAGAACUUGUGUAAAGAACCGUGGUGAUAAAUAGAAU
rnacentral:sRNA from 1 species